rnacentral:rRNA from 1 species
GAUGAACGCUGGCGGCGUGCCUAAUACAUGCAAGUCGAGCGAACAGAUGAGGAGCUUGCUCCUCUGACGUUAGCGGCGGACGGGUGAGUAACACGUGGAUAACCUACCUAUAAGACUGGGAUAACUUCGGGAAACCGGAGCUAAUACCGGAUAAUAUAUUGAACCGCAUGGUUCAAUAGUGAAAGACGGUUUUGCUGUCACUUAUAGAUGGAUCCGCGCCGCAUUAGCUAGUUGGUAAGGUAACGGCUUACCAAGGCAACGAUGCGUAGCCGAUCUGAGAGGGUGAUUGGCCACACUGGAACUGAGACACGGUCCAGACUCCUACGGGAGGCAGCAGUAGGGAAUCUUCCGCAAUGGGCGAAAGCCUGACGGAGCAACGCCGCGUGAGUGAUGAAGGUCUUCGGAUCGUAAAACUCUGUUAUUAGGGAAGAACAAAUGUGUAAGUAACUAUGCACGUCUUGACGGUACCUAAUCAGAAAGCCACGGCUAACUACGUG